AUUGAACGCUGGCGGCAGGCCUAACACAUGCAAGUCGAGCGGAUGAGUGGAGCUUGCUCCAUGAUUCAGCGGCGGACGGGUGAGUAAUGCCUAGGAAUCUGCCUGGUAGUGGGGGACAACGUCUCGAAAGGAACGCUAAUACCGCAUACGUCCUACGGGAGAAAGUGGGGGAUCUUCGGACCUCACGCUAUCAGAUGAGCCUAGGUCGGAUUAGCUAGUUGGUGAGGUAAAGGCUCACCAAGGCGACGAUCCGUAACUGGUCUGAGAGGAUGAUCAGUCACACUGGAACUGAGACACGGUCCAGACUCCUACGGGAGGCAGCAGUGGGGAAUAUUGGACAAUGGGCGAAAGCCUGAUCCAGCCAUGCCGCGUGUGUGAAGAAGGUCUUCGGAUUGUAAAGCACUUUAAGUUGGGAGGAAGGGCAGUAAGUUAAUACCUUGCUGUUUUGACGUUACCAACAGAAUAAGCACCGGCUAACUUCGUG
rnacentral:rRNA from 1 species